GAUGAACGCUAGCUACAGGCUUAACACAUGCAAGUCGAGGGGCAGCAUUAUCGAAGCUUGCUUUGAUAGAUGGCGACCGGCGCACGGGUGAGUAACGCGUAUCCAACCUUCCCCUUAGUAGGGCAUAGCCCGGCGAAAGUCGGAUUAAUACCCUAUGUUGUUCGUCGAGGACAUCUGAAGUGAACCAAAGAUUUAUCGCUAAGGGAUGGGGAUGCGUCCGAUUAGGUUGUUGGCGGGGUAACGGCCCACCAAGCCCUCGAUCGGUAGGGGUUCUGAGAGGAAGGUCCCCCACAUUGGAACUGAGACACGGUCCAAACUCC
rnacentral:rRNA from 1 species